rnacentral:rRNA from 1 species
AGAGUUUGAUCCUGGCUCAGGACGAACGCUGGCGGCGUGCCUAACACAUGCAAGUCGUACGGAGUUCACUUGGAAGCUUGCUUCCGAGUGAACGUAGUGGCGGACGGGUGAGUAACGCGUGAGCAACCUGCCUCACAGAGGGGGAUAACACACGGAAACGUGUGCUAAUACCGCAUAAUCCGAUGAAGCGGCAUCGCUUUAUCGGCAAAGGAGCAAUCCGCUGUGAGAUGGGCUCGCGUCCGAUUAGAUAGUUGGUGAGGUAACGGCUCACCAAGUCUACGAUCGGUAGCCGGACUGAGAGGUUGGACGGCCACAUUGGGACUGAGACACGGCCCAAACUCCUACGGGAGGCAGCAGUGAGGGAUAUUGCACAAUGGGCGAAAGCCUGAUGCAGCGACGCCGCGUGAGGGAUGACGGUCUUCGGAUUGUAAACCUCUGUCCUUGGUGAAGAAGAAAGUGACGGUAGCCAAGGAGGAAGCCACGGCUAACUACGUGCCAGCAGCCGCGGUAAUACGUAGGUGGCAAGCGUUGUCCGGAAUUACUGGGUGUAAAGGGAGCGCAGGCGGGCUUGCAAGUCAGCUGUGAAAUUCAAGGGCUUAAUCCUUGACAUGCAGUUGAAACUACAGGUCUUGAGUGAAGUAGAGGUAGGCGGAAUUCCGAGUGUAGCGGUAAAAUGCGUAGAUAUUCGGAGGAACACCGGUGGCGAAGGCGGCCUACUGGGCUUUUACUGACGCUGAGGCUCGAAAGUGUGGGGAGCAAACAGGAUUAGAUACCCUGGUAGUCCACACCGUAAACGAUGAUUGCUAGGUGUGGGGGGUCUGACCCCCUCCGUGCCGCAGUUAACGCAAUAAGCAAUCCACCUGGGGAGUACGGCCGCAAGGCUAAAACUUAAAGGAAUUGACGG